rnacentral:rRNA from 1 species
AGAGUUUGAUCCUGGCUCAGAUUGAACGCUGGCGGCAGGCUUAACACAUGCAAGUCGAGCGGUAACAGAGAGUAGCUUGCUACUUUGCUGACGAGCGGCGGACGGGUGAGUAAUGCUUGGGAAUAUGCCUUUGAGUGGGGGACAACAGUUGGAAACGACUGCUAAUACCGCAUAACGUCUACGGACCAAAGGGGGGGAUCUUCGGACCUCUCGCUCAUUGAUUAGCCCAAGUGAGAUUAGCUAGUUGGUAAGGUAAUGGCUUACCAAGGCGACGAUCUCUAGCUGGUUUGAGAGGAUGAUCAGCCACACUGGGACUGAGACACGGCCCAGACUCCUACGGGAGGCAGCAGUGGGGAAUAUUGCACAAUGGGCGAAAGCCUGAUGCAGCCAUGCCGCGUGUGUGAAGAAGGCCUUCGGGUUGUAAAGCACUUUCAGUUGUGAGGAAAGGUGUGUAGUUAAUAACUGCAUACCGUGACGUUAGCAACAGAAGAAGCACCGGCUAACU